CAGCCGCCGCGGUAAUACGGGGGGAGCAAGCGUUGUUCGGAUUUACUGGGCGUAAAGGGCGCGUAGGCGGCGUAACAAGUCACUUGUGAAAUCUCCGGGCUUAACCCGGAGCGGCCAAGUGAUACUGUUGUGCUAGAGUGCGGAAGGGGCUACUGGAAUUCUCGGUGUAGCGGUGAAAUGCGUAGAUAUCGAGAGGAACACCUGCGGCGAAGGCGGGUAGCUGGGCCGACACUGACGCUGAGGCGCGAAAGCCAGGGGAGCGAACGGGAUUAGAUACCCCGGUAGUCCUGGCCUUAAACGAUGGAUACUUGGUGUCCGAGGUUACAUAGUCCUCGGGUGCCGGCGCUAACGCAUUAAGUAUCCCGCCUGGGGAGUACGGUCGCAAGACUGAAACUCAAAGGAAUUGACGG
rnacentral:rRNA from 1 species